AUCGCUCAUAGCGUAUAUAAGUUGUUGCGGUUAAAAGCUCGUAGUUGGAUUUCAGUUCUGGACUGACGGUUCACCGCCCGGUGCAUACUGUCACGCUCCGAACAGCCACAACAGCCCGCUGGCUCGCACGGGGUGCUCUUCAUCGAGUGUCCCGCGUGGCCGGCAGAGUUUACUUUGAAAAAAUUAGAGUGCUCAAAGCAGGCUACACUUACGGCCUGAAUGCCUAUGCAUGGAAUAAUGGAAUAGGACCUCGGUUCUAUUUUGUCGGUUUUCUGAACCCGAGGUAAUGACUAAUAGGAACAGGCGGGGGCAUUCGUAUUGCGACGCUAGAGGUGAAAUUCUUGGACCGUCGCAAGACGAACUACUGCGAAAGCAUUUGCCAAGGAUGUUUUCAUUAAUCAAGAACGAAAGUUAGAGGUUCGAAGGCGAUCGAAAUACCGCCA
rnacentral:rRNA from 1 species